CGGGGUGCAGCAGGCGCGAAAACUUUACAAUGCUGGAAACAGCGAUAAGGGGACCUCGAGUGCCAGGUUACAAAUCUGGCUGUCGUGAUGCCUAAAAAGCAUUGCAUAGCAAGGGCCGGGCAAGACCGGUGCCAGCCGCCGCGGUAACACCGGCGGCUCGAGUGGUAACCGUUAUUAUUGGGUCUAAAGGGUCUGUAGCCGGCCGGAUAAGUCUCUUGGGAAAUCCAGCAGCUCAACUGUUGGGCUUUCAGGAGAUACUGUCUGGCUCGAGGCCGGGAGAGGUGAGAGGUACUUCAGGGGUAGGGGUGAAAUCUUGUAAUCCUUGAAGGACCACCAGUGGCGAAGGCGUCUCACCAGAACGGACCUGACGGCAAGGGACGAAAGCUAGGGGCACGAACCGGAUUAGAUACCCGGGUAGUCCUAGCCGUAAACGAUACUCGCUAGGUGUCGGCCACGGUGCGACCGUUGUCGGUGCCGUAGGGAAGCCGUGAAGCGAGCCACCUGGGAAGUACGGCCGCAAGGCUGAAACUUAAAGGAAUUGGCGGGGGAGCACAAGGGCAAUUCGCG
rnacentral:rRNA from 1 species